AAAUGACCCUCCAACACUAUGUAGACUGAGGAGCCUCUGACCAACUCAGCUUCUGAAAAAAAUCCAAACCUGUCCCUGCAGUUUCGGCUGUGCUGUUUCCGGAGUCAAGUAUUGAGGUUGAAGGAGGCUGAUUAGGCCUGGUCUGUGGCAGAAUGGUGCCCAAGCAGGGACCUCUGGACAGUCUGGGAUGUCUUUGGCAUCUUCAUCUGCAUACCUUCUUUUGCUGCAGGAACACUCUGCUUGGACUGUCACCCUGAAUUGGGAGGCUCCUGGCACUUUGCCCUUCUGCUUGUUGACAUCCCCUGAAGGAGGAGUUCUCAGGACACAUCAGGUGAAUUCUAGCCAUAACAUCAGGCUCCAAAGAGUUUUCUAGCUAAUAAUGUCCACUAUUGAAGACGUUUCGUUCUUGUCUAUUUGCUGGAUGCCUGGGUUAGCAGAAGCUUGUCUAAGGAGUCACUGCCUGUGUUGAAGUGGGCUCUGCAGUGAAAUAGCUGUUGGGAAGUUACCCAAGCUCCUGUAAGUAACCUCACACUGGACUCCUUAGCAACCCCGAAGGAAGCUCAGUAGAUCCUCAAGUUGAAUGUCUGCACAGUUGGUACUUCAGUCUGCCAUUAAGUUCUAUUUCUGGUGGGUGUGUACGUGUGUGCGUACGUGUGUGUGUGUGUGUGUGUGUGUGUGUGUGUGUGUGUGUGUUACAAAUCUGUUGUUCUUCAGGGAUAACUUCCCCCUUUUGUGUCUCAGGGUGCUCAGUUGGGAGUUCCCUAAUCCUUCCCUCUUCUUACACUUAGCUGCCUGGAGUCAUGGCCUCAGCCAUGGCCUUGUGGAUAUUUUCUAGCUCACAUAAACAAUCCUGAGAGAACAUUCGUGGUCGUAACAGCAAGAAAGUUUAUGGGAAAAGAGGACACUGUGACUGUUGGUUCCAGGAGCUGAAGAUUGCCACCUGACCUUCAGAGAGCCCCCAGUCUCUCCCACUCCCCACCCCCCAUCCCUUGGAGCCUCCUCUUGCUUAUGCUUAUAUUGCCACUCCUGAAUAAAGUUUUCAGAGCUUGAUCAGUA
rnacentral:lncRNA from 1 species